rnacentral:sRNA from 1 species
UAUUCUACCCUACGGGGAAGGAUGAGAAGCUUCGACCAAGGUUCGACUCGAGCGCCAGCGAGAGAACGUUGCCGCAGGCAA